UGGCUUCUUGAUCUUUGGCCUUCAUCAGAAGGAAGAUCUUCCCUGUCUCGGGGGCUGCUCUCAACAAUUUCUCGAUGAAAACUGCGAUUUGGAAGCACAAGACCUUCUUCAAAGAGCGUCAAAUCGAACGAAGCAAGUAUAACUUAACAUAAAAACAGAAUUAUGACAGAGACGGACAGACUUGGAGGCAAAGAGAGGCAUGGGGAAAAACUGCUGAAACAGUUUUCCACAUGUAAAACGUGCGCAAGUCAGACGCUAAGAAGAGAGAAUACAAAAGGGCCAUGUAACCAAACGCCAUUCGUCUUAGAUUUUCUUUACUACUUUGAUCAACAUUCUGAGAACAUAACAAUAUGGAUCCAGACACUGAAAGCCAGAGUCACUACGCACAUAAGUAGUUGUGUACCUUUGGCAAGGAAA